GGGGACGUUCUGGAUUUGACAGGGCGUACUGGUGGAAGCAAGCCGCGAGCCGGAGCGCUGUUCUCCGUUAUCAACGAGCAAAAAAACAAAUGCAAACACAUUUGAUCUAAGCCACAAAUUUGCAGCAUUAAAUACAGCUGACGCUGUAGCUGCAUAGUGGUAACUGGGUAAUCCCCGCCGGCCGGAUUAUUCGGUCAUUACGCCGGAAUGCUCUCAACGGACGAGGAUAAGUUGAGCUAAGACAAUCCUCAAAGUCCGGCAGGACUUUAAAAAUGCUUGGUUAAAAUUAUGGGUGUGGUAACUGACCUGAUUUUAACGACAUAAAUAGUUACCUACGCUCGUAGAAGUUUGUUUGUGCCCGUCUUGGACGAGGGUUCGAAACCCUCCGUCUCCACCA
rnacentral:tmRNA from 1 species